UCACAUCCCUUUGUGAGCACGGCUGC
rnacentral:piRNA from 1 species